ensembl:lncRNA
CUCUUUCAAAAAACGUCUUUAAUACACAAAAACGUACAGAAUAUAAACAUCAAUAGUAUUCAUGUAUUAAACAAAUAGCACAUGUACUUAUAAACACAAUUUCUCGCCCAUCGUUUUUUUAAAGCACCAAUUCACUGACAUCAUUCCUUGAGAUUAUAAAAGUUUACUAGCGUUAGUCUGACCAAUCAAUCAAAAACCUAAAUAAUUAUAUUCCUAAUUGUGCCUAUAUUCUAAUUACCCAUAAUUCAUUAAGAAUCUCCUCGACUCCCUCUUGUUUAUGACCCUGUUUAUGUUGGCUCCAGAUAGAAGUCGCCCUUAGGUACAGAUCUAGGAUCAGUUUUCCCUCACCCAAAGGACAAUGCAACAACGUCUCCUCUUCACCCCCUGCUGACAUCACCAAUUCAAGUCCUUAUCCAGUCAUUAGGCAGAAUAGUCUAUGUAAUAUUAUGUCAAAUAGGGUCUGUUUCAUACAUGUACACAUGUGGAGGCCAGUAGGAAUGUGUUUCAUCCCCCUGAGACCCUCUCAGACAGUGAGGUUACAGAUCAGCCACGUGUGGAGGCCAGUAGGAGUGUGUUUCAUCCCCCUGAGACCCUCUCAGACAGUGAGGUUACAGAUCAGCCACGUGUGGAGGCCAGUAGGAGUGUGUUUCAUCCCCCUGAGACCCUCUCAGACAGUGAGGUUACAGAUCAGCCACGUGUGGUGGCCAGUAGGAGUGUGUUUCAUCCCCCUGAGACCCUCUCAGACAGUGAGGUUACAGAUCAGCCACGUGUGGUGGCCAGUGGGAGUGUGUUUCAUCCCCCUGAGACCCUCUCAGACAGUGAGGUUACAGAUCAGCCACGUGUGGUGGCCAGUAGGAGUGUGUUUCACAUGUUUCCCAUGACAAUAAAGCCCCUUGGAUUGAAUUAAGAGAGAGAGAGAGAGAGACAGACACACAGAGAGAGACACAGAGAGAGACACAGAGAGAGAGAGAGAGACACAGAGAGAGAGACACACAGAGAGAGACACACAGAGAGAGACACAGAGAGAGACACAGAGAGAGAGAGAGAGAGAGAGAGAGAGAGACACAGAGAGAGAGACACAGAGAGAGACACAGAGAGAGAGACACAGAGAGAGACACAGAGAGAGAGAGAGAGAGACACACAGAGAGAGAGACACAGAGAGAGACACACAGAGAGACAGAGAGAGAGAGACACACAGAGAGAGACACACAGAGAGAGACACACAGAGAGAGACACAGAGAGAGAGAGAGAGAGAGAGAGAGAGAGAGAGAGAGAGAGAGAGAAAGAGAGGGAGAGAGAGAGAGAGAGAGAGAGAGAGAGAGAGAGAGAGGGAGAAAGAGAGGGAGAGAGAGAGAGAGAUAGGGAGAAAGAGAGGGAGAGAGAGGAAGAAAGUAUAGUGGAGUAACUUGUUAAAGGUCUGUGUGUGUCUGCACCUGUAUAACUCCUGGAACACUAACAACUGGUCCUUCCAUUAAACCAGUUGUGCUUUACAAACUAUCCCUCUGAUACACUGAGUAGGCAGCCUUUCCCUUUAACAAACUGGAACUGGUUUAUACUGUGUAACACAGUGAGGGGAAUAGACAAACACUACAGCUUGGUUGGAGGUAGAAACCAGAGCUGUGUUACCCCCUGUCUUUGACCCUGUGUGAUUAAGUCCCUGAUACAUGCAUACCAUUACUCAACCUCUAUUUCUAGUCCUUCCUCUCUCUCUCUCUCUCUCUCUCUCUCUCUCUCUCUCUCUCCUCUUUCUCUCUCUCUCUCUCUCUCCUUUCAGGCCCUCUCUGUGUGUGUUUGUGUUGGCAACAGCCUCUUAAGUGCGGUAGGUAAAAUCCCUACAUCCAACAAGCCUGCCAAGAAAGCCACACACACACACACACACGUGCGGGCACGCCAAACACACAAAGAGAGAAGGAGAGCCAAGAAAGCUUCACUCAGCUCAACCUCAGGGGGGAGAAGCUUUAGAAAACCCCAGGUCCUUUCUCCUCCCACACAAUAAGAUGUGCUGCUGUUACUGUACGUUAGUCGUUGUUAUCAUGCAGCUCUUACUAAUAUACUGUGUCUGAAAGGAGGAUCACAUUUACAUAUCUGGUUUACUUUAGGCCAGAGAAUGUUCCCACAGGAAAAACAACGCUGUUUUACAGGAGUCGGCAGCUCUUCCUCAGUUCAUGCUACUCUACUGUAAUGUUUACAUUAGUUAGUUAGUUUGUUAGUUUACACUAGAAAGGGCCGAUCUUAGAGAUGUCCUAACUUGAGGGGUCAUGACCCCACUCUCCCAUCUGGGAUACAUUCUCAAAGACUUUCUGCCUUACCCUUUCUAUCUUUCUAUUUCCCUCUCUCCUUCUCUCUCAUGAGAAUGCAGUCUCCUCUCGCUCUCUUCCAUUCACCCCUUUCUCCCUUUCUCUCAUCCUCCUUCUUUCUCCUUCUCUCUCAUCCUCCUUCUUUCCCUCUCCUUUUACCCCUUUUCGCUCCCUAUUUUUCUGUCCUCUCUACUAUUCUCAUCUCCCUCUCUGUCUCCUUCUUUCCCCUUCUCUCAGGGUAGUUCGGUCAGUCAGAGGUCUGGUUGUCAUUAGCUUCCUGUUACUGACUUAAAGAAAAACAGCCCCGACAGAGAGAGAGAGGGACGUACGGACAGACAGACAGAGAGAGAGAGAGAGAGAGAGAGAGAGGGAGGGACGGAAGGACAGAGGAUGAGAGAGAGAGGGAGAGAGAGAGCAAAAGAGGGAGGUCAGGGAGAGACAGAGAGAGACAGAGAUGGAGAGAGAGGGAGAGAGAGCAAGAGAGGGAGAGGAAGAGCAAGAGAGAGGGAGAGGAAGAGCAAGAGAGGGAGAGGAAGAGCAAGAGAGAGGGAGAGGAAGAGCAAGAGAGAGGGAGAGGAAGGAAGAGAGAGAGAGAGAGGA